UAAAGUACAAGGGAGUGAACCACCUGAUCCCUUCCCGAACUCAGAAGUGAAACCUCUUAGCGCUGAUGGUAGUGUGGGAUUACCCAUGUGAGAGUAAGUCAUCGC
rnacentral:rRNA from 1 species